rnacentral:rRNA from 1 species
GACAGAGGUGGCGAGCAUUGUUCGGAAUUACUGGGCUUAAAGGGCGAGUAGGCGGUGGAGCCAGUCUGAGGUGGAAUCCUACGGCUUAACCGUAGAACUGACUUGGAAACUGUUUUUCUUGAGUCAGUGAGGGGAGGGCGGAAUUCCUGGUGUAGCGGUGAAAUGCGUAGAUAUCAGGAGGAAGGCAUGUGGCGAAAGUGGCCCUCUGGAACUGUACUGACGCUGAGGCGCGAAAGCGUGGGGAGCAAACAGG